UCGCGGCGGCAGGGGAUCGCGGCAGGAUAAUUUCGCCGAGGAAAGUCCGGACUCCAGGGAACAAGAGUACGCCGGGUAAUACCCGGGCGGGUACGUGUACCCGACGGAAAGCGCAACAGAAAGCAAACCGCCUUAUUUCUCCCUAAGAAAUGGGUAAGGGUGAAAGGGUGGGGUAAGAGCCCACCGCGGUUUUGGCAACAAAACCGGCACGGCAAGCCCCGUAUGGAGCAAGUUCAAGCAGUGAACCGGGUUCCCGAAUGGUUCACGGGUAGAGCGCAAUCAGCGUUUGGGGAAACCCGGCGCGCAGACAGAUGAUCCCCCCAGACAGAAUCCGGCUUAUAGUCUCCGCGAGACG
rnacentral:RNase_P_RNA from 1 species